rnacentral:SRP_RNA from 2 species
GCUGGGCGUGGUGGCUCACGCCUGUAAUCCCAGCACUUUGGGAGGCUGAGGCAGGUGGAUCACCUGAGGUCAGGAGUUUGAGACCAGCCUGGCCAACAUGGUGAAACCCUGUCUCUA